rnacentral:tRNA from 1 species
CGGGGUGUGGCGCAGUUUGGUAGCGCAUCUGCUUUGGGAGCAGAGGGUCGCAGGUUCAAAUCCUGUCACCCCGACCA